rnacentral:rRNA from 1 species
GACGAACGCUGGCGGCAUGCCUAACACAUGCAAGUCGAACGGAGAUUAUUUCGGUAAUCUUAGUGGCGAACGGGUGAGUAACGCGUAGGCAACCUGCCCUUUAGUUGGGGACAACAUUCCGAAAGGGGUGCUAAUACCGAAUGUGACAGUUUUUCCGCAUGGGAUUACUGUGAAAGAUGGCCUCUAUUUAUAAGCUAUCGCUAAAGGAUGGGCCUGCGUCUGAUUAGCUAGUUGGUGGGGUAACGGCCUACCAAGGCGACGAUCAGUAGCCGGUCUGAGAGGAUGAACGGCCACAUUGGGACUGAGACACGGCCCAGACUCCUACGGGAGGCAGCAGUGGGGAAUCUUCCGCAAUGGACGAAAGUCUGACGGAGCAACGCCGCGUGAACGAUGACGGCCUC